rnacentral:RNase_P_RNA from 1 species
AAGGCACGACAGGCGGCUGCUAAGCAUAGCUUUAGAGGAAAGUCCGGGCUGCAAUGAGACGAGGUUCCACCUAACGGGUGGCUGGGGUAACCCAAGGGAAAGUGCAACAGAGAGCAGACUACCGCGAAAGCGGAAAAGGUGAAACGGCGGGGUAAGAGCCUGCCAGCGUUUUUAGCAAUAAAAGCGGCUUUGUAAACCCAACUUGCAGCAAGAAGAGAUGGUUUUGUCUCAUAUUUUUACUCUUCGCUUGAGCGGCAUUGCGAAAUGACGCCCAGAUAAAUAACCGCCCACGACAGAACCCGGCUUACGGCGUGCCUUGAAU